UGCAUUAACUACUGUAAGUCACUCUGGAUAAGAACGUCUGCUAAAUGACUAAAA
rfam:Salmo salar isolate Sally breed double haploid chromosome ssa24, whole genome shotgun sequence.